rnacentral:tRNA from 2 species
GUGGCGGUAGCAGAAUUGGUUUAAUGCCCCCGAUUGUGAUUCGGGAAUGUGCGGGUUCAAGUCCCGUCCGUCACC